rnacentral:rRNA from 1 species
GAAUUCGCCCUUAGAGUUUGAUCCUGGCUCAGGACGAACGCUGGCGGCGCGCCUAACACAUGCAAGUCGAACGAGAGAGAGGGAGCUUGCUUCCUCAAUCGAGUGGCGAACGGGUGAGUAACGCGUGAGGAACCUGCCUCAAAGAGGGGGACAACAGUUGGAAACGACUGCUAAUACCGCAUAAGCCCACGGGUCGGCAUCGACCAGAGGGAAAAGGAGCAAUCCGCUUUGAGAUGGCCUCGCGUCCGAUUAGCUAGUUGGUGAGGUAACGGCCCACCAAGGCGACGAUCGGUAGCCGGACUGAGAGGUUGAACGGCCACAUUGGGACUGAGACACGGCCCAGACUCCUACGGGAGGCAGCAGUGGGGAAUAUUGCACAAUGGGGGAAACCCUGAUGCAGCGACGCCGCGUGGAGGAAGAAGGUCUUCGGAUUGUAAACUCCUGUUGUUGAGGAAGAUAAUGACGGUACUCAACAAGGAAGUGACGGCUAACUACGUGCCAGCAGCCGCGGUAAAACGUAGGUCACAAGCGUUGUCCGGAAUUACUGGGUGUAAAGGGAGCGCAGGCGGGAAGACAAGUUGGAAGUGAAAUCUAUGGGCUCAACCCAUAAACUGCUUUCAAAACUGUUUUUCUUGAGUAGUGCAGAGGUAGGCGGAAUUCCCGGUGUAGCGGUGGAAUGCGUGGAUAUCGGGAGGAACACCAGUGGCGAAGGCGGCCUACUGGGCACCAACUGACGCUGAGGCUCGAAAGUGUGGGUAGCAAACAGGAUUAGAUACCCUGGUAGUCCACACCGUAAACGAUGAUUACUAGGUGUUGGGGGAUGCCCCCCUUCAGCCCGCCAGUUUAACCCAAUAAGUAAUCCCCUGGGGGAGUCCGCCCCGCAAGGUUGAAACUCAAAGGAAUUGACGGGGGCCCGCACAAGCAGUGGAGUAUGUGGUUUAAUUAGACGCAACGCGAAGAACCUUACCAAGUCUUGACAUCCUGCGACGAUGUUGGAAACAGUAUUUUCCUUCGGGACGCAGAGACAGGUGGUGCAUGGUUGUCGUCAGCUCGUGUCGUGAGAUGUUAGGUUAAGUCCCGCAACGAGCGCAACCCUUACUGUCAGUUACUACGCAAGAGGACUCUGGCAGGACUGCCGUUGACAAAACGGAGGAAGGUGGGGAUGACGUCAAAUCAUCAUGCCCUUUAUGACUUGGGCUACACACGUACUACAAUGGCGUUAAACAAAGAGAAGCAAGACCGCGAGGUGGAGCAAAACUCAGAAACAACGUCCCAGUUCGGACUGCAGGCUGCAACUC